CCCCAUAAACGAGGAAUUCCUAGUAAGCGCGAGUCAUAAGCUCGCGUUGAUUACGUCCCUGCCCUUUGUACACACCGCCCGUCGCUACUACCGAUUGAAUGAUUUAGUGAGGUCUUUGGACCGACACGCGGUGGCUUCACGGCCGUCGGCGUUGCUGGGAAGUUGACCAAACUUGAUCAUUUAGAGGAAGUAAAAGUCGUAACAAGGUUUCCGUAGGGGAACCUGCGGAAGGAUCAUUA
rnacentral:rRNA from 1 species